CUUUUUCCUCUCCCCAGGUGUUCUUUCCCCUCUAUUUUCUCACUGAGUGAAGCAGCACGCUUCUUCUGAUGACUCAGCCGCAGAUAUUUACUGCUGUGAGUGGAGCACAGAAAUGGCUCACCUGCCAGCCUCUGGGAAGGAAGACAGCAAGACUCUAGCUGUGUGCUCGGCUCCUCUAGUCGACAGCUGCCAGUUCCCUCUGGAAAACUCAGGUCAAGAUGUGAGCUCUCAGCUGCUGCUUCAUCAACCUCCCCCCAUGCCCUGGCCCCACCAUCAUGGACUCUAGUCCUCUGGAAUGGGUUUCUCGUGCCGAAAAUGAUGCUCAACUGAACUCAUGUGAGAAACACCCCCUUAAGAUGAGCAGAUUUUUCCUGCCACACAAUCAACUGAAGAUGUUUCUUUGCUACAGACCUCAAAAGACAAAUUGAUCACAGAUUGGACAUUUCAAAACUGGCUGCCGUGUGAAGCAAUGGCAGAGCACUUCUGAAGACACUGAAGCCUGGCAAAUGCUGCGGACAGAAACAACGCUCCAUUUCCGCCUUCAUUGAAAGGAGAAUCAACGUUUGUGUUAAGACAUUUGACAGAGAGUAGCUGUGCCUCAGCCAAAGGCCUUUCCCAACUUCAUCGUGUGGUAGUUAGGAAACCUUUUGAACAAUGACAGUUGGAAGAAUGGAGACUGUAAGCCUGUCAUCUGAUGAAGAAACAGUGACACCCAAAUGCCCUUUAGCAAGUCCCAUUAUACUGUCCAUGCCUCAGCAUUCUCCCAACUGUCCCCUAGGUAGAUGUCGGCAUUAGCAUUCUUGUGUCUCAUAUAGAGAGUCUAAAGUCUGUAGCUGAGCCCCGACUCCAAAACAUAUACUGUUCCGUUCUUCUGGCCUAUAUCUUCUCUCCUAUUCUCUGAAUUGCUCUCAAUAGUGGUGUUCAGAAACCUUAGAAAUCUGAGGGUCUGGACAACUAAGGUAGACCAUAGACAGAAAGGAGACAGAGAGUGUGAAUGUAGGAACAUUUUCUACCUCUAACAUAGGCUAUUAACACAUGUAUAGUAGGACAUAUGGUGACCAUCUGGAACGGAAACUCCUUACGUCACUGCUGAAAUUCAGACCAAUAAUGCAGUCAGUUUAGGAAGAAUUGUAAUGCCCUACUCUCCUAAAAGCUUGCCUUCUGAGUGAAUGCCCUUGGCAAACCAUGAUUAAGAGCAGCAGUAUAUUUGUUGGCACACAAAAUGAAAUGUCAGUUGAUAUAUGGGGCCAUGAUACUCCUUGACCUUAAUUGUCUUCUGGAACAUUGUGUCCUAAUCCUCCCAUGGAUGUCACUGAUAAUGAUCUGGCCAUGCAAGCUUAUACAAACAAAAAGGACAUCCCACAAAGGGAUCAAAGACAUUUCCAUCAAUCAGGUGCCCUGAAGGAAGUGCCAGAUAAACAGUUCCAGCUGGUGGCAAGUAGAGAUAGACCAGGGAUAAACCAACUAUAGUCCUUGGUGAAAUCUGGUUCCUGACCUGCUCAUAUAAAUAAAGUAUUGCUGAAACAUAGCAAGCUUACUUUUUUUCAUGUAUUGUUUGCUUUUGCCUACCACUAUAAAUGGAGUGGUCACAACACAGACUGUAUGAUCUGCAGAGCUGAAAAUAUUCGUGAUACUGUUAUCCAGCUUUUUGCGAAACAAGUUUCUGACCUCUGCACUAGACAAUGGAUGUGCAGGUGAACUUGACCCUGUGAACACUGACAAAACCCUUGGCCAUGUCCUUUGAUAGUGAUAUACCGGAAGGGGAGUUGGAUAGGAAUGUCUGGAGGUCACCAUGUUCAUAGAACUGCUUCUAAAGGGCCUGACUCCAAUCGAAUGGCGGUAAUCGUCCCAAAUUUUCAAAUAUCAGGAAGUCCUCAAACACUGUGCACAUAAUGUAUUUAUGUAGUCAAGACCUGAAGAGCCUCAGCGACCUGAGCAAGCACUCUCUUAGUUGUCUCCUUUCCUAAUGUUGCUGUGCUCAAUUAAAACAGAGGCAGAGUGAGCCCUUAUUAGAGAACUUUUGGAAGUGACAUUUUUGGACUUAAGCAUCUUCUCCUGGAAAACCGAGUGGCUUGAGAAACUGUCUUAAAAGGAUGGCAGAGCAUGAAAUGACAGUAGUAAGUUAGCUUCUCAGCUCUGGAGGAGCCUCUUGAACCAGGAACCCAAAUAAGUA